ACACUCCUACGGGAGGCAGCAGUGGGGAAUAUUGCACAAUGGGCGCAAGCCUGAUGCAGCCAUGCCGCGUGUAUGAAGAAGGCCUUCGGGUUGUAAAGUACUUUCAGCGGGGAGGAAGGCGAUAAGGUUAAUAACCUUGUUGAUUGACGUUACCCGCAGAAGAAGCACCGGCUAACUCCGUGCCAGCAGCCGCGGUAAUACGGAGGGUGCAAGCGUUAAUCGGAAUUACUGGGCGUAAAGCGCACGCAGGCGGUCUGUCAAGUCGGAUGUGAAAUCCCCGGGCUCAACCUGGGAACUGCAUUCGAAACUGGCAGGCUAGAGUCUUGUAGAGGGGGGUAGAAUUCCAGGUGUAGCGGUGAAAUGCGUAGAGAUCUGGAGGAAUACCGGUGGCGAAGGCGGCCCCCUGGACAAAGACUGACGCUCAGGUGCGAAAGCGUGGGGAGCAAACAGGAUUAGAUACCCCGGUAGUCCCAU
rnacentral:rRNA from 1 species